rnacentral:rRNA from 1 species
UCUGGUGUGCCAGUUGUUCUGCCAAGGGCAUGGCUGGUUGGCUACGUUCGGGAGGGAUAACCGCUGAAAGCAUCUAAGCGGGAAGCCUGCUUCGAGAUGAGUAUUCCCACCUCCUUGAGAGGGUAAGGCUCCCAGUAGACGACUGGGUUGAUAGGCCGGAUAUGGAAGCCCUGUAAGGGGUGGAGUUGACCGGUACUAAUAGGCCGAGGGCUUGUCCUC